GAAAGGAUCUUGUUGAUUCAAGAUGACUUAUCAGCUUAUGGAGUUAAUUUACAGACUCUUAAGGAAAUUCCAUGAGUCAGUAUCCUCUAUAUUCAGAAAUGAUAAUUGCAGCGACUCAACAUCAAAGCCUGGUUCAACAAAAGCCAAACCAGAUGUUGAAGCUUUCAAAAAAGACCAGAAUAAGCAAGCUCAGAUAGUUUCUCAGAUCACUAAGGAAGAAAAGGAAUACCAAUUUGAACAAAAUAUUUAUAGGCAGACUAAGAUUUCACCGAGGUUUACAUUCACAUUCUGUUUUAAGUGAUUGAAGAUGCAUUAGCUGGAGUAUAAACUGCCAAAGCUGCGAAAAUAAGAUGUAUAGUUGUGACGAUAAAACUAUCCGAAGAUACUCUAAAAGCAGGGGAACCAUUACUCAUCGAAAAGGAAAUAAGCGAUAUCUCACGUGAAGAUAUACUCAAUGGUGGCUCUGGUAGCCAUAGUAUAUAGUUCACCAACAUGUUAAGAAAUGGCAUUUUUGUGUACCAUUUGACAAAUGUAAAUAUUGAAACUCUUUAAUGUUAUUUAUGAAAAAACUUGCG